rnacentral:rRNA from 1 species
UUUCRGAAACRAAUGCUAAUACCGGAUACGCKAUAUGGUCGCAUGACUGAAUCGGGAAAGAUGGAGCAAUCUAUCACUUAUAGAUGGACCCGCGGCGCAUUAKCUAGUUGGUGAGGUAACGGCUCACCARGGMGACUAUGCGUASCCGACCUGAGAGGGUGAUCGGCCACACUGGGACUGAGACACGGCCCACACUCCUACGGGAGGCAGCAGURGGGAAUCUUCCGCAAUGGACGAAAGUCUGACAGAGCAACSCCGCGUGAGUGAUGAAGGUUUUCAGAUCGUAAAGCUCUGUUGCCRGGGAAGAAUGYUUGGGAGAGUAACUGCUCCCARGGUGACGGUACCUGARAAGAAAGCCCCGGCUAACUACGUGCCAGCAGCCGCGGUAAUACGURGGGGGCAAGCGUUGUCCGGAAUUAUUGGGCGUAAAGCGCGCGCRGGCGGCCUUGUAAGUCUGUUGUUUAAACUUGGGGCUCAACCCCAAGUCGCAGGGGAAACUGCAAAKCUUGAGUACARAAGAAGAAAGUGGAAUUCCACGUGUAGCGGUGAAAUGCGUAGAGAUGUGGARGAAC